GGAUGCAGGAAGUGAAGUUCCGUAAGAUAAUCCCGGUUGGAUUUGGCAGAUAACGUUGCUAUAUCCAAAACUGGCAAGAGAAACAGAGAGACAUAGAGAAGUUUAUGUUUUAACAACUACCAUCUGGAUGCUUAGUAACGAAAAUCUAGAAUAAUUAAAUAAAACGUCAUUUUUAUUUGUUAUGUGUUUCAAG